rnacentral:rRNA from 1 species
UGAGGAAUAUUGCACAAUGGGCGCAAGCCUGAUGCAGCAACGCCGCGUGAGGGACGAAGGCCUUCGGGUCGUAAGCCUCUUUUCUGGGGGACGAGUAAGGACGGUACCCCAGGAAUAAGUUUCGGCUAACUACGUGCCAGCAGCCGCGGUAAAACGUAGGAGGCGAGCGUUAUCCGGAUUUACUGGGCGUAAAGCGUACGCAGGUGGCUUCGUUAGUCGGACAUGAAAGCACCUGGCUUAACUGGGAGAGGUUGUUCGAUACUGCGGGGCUUGAGGUUGGGAGAGGGACGUGGAAUUCCCGGUGUAGUGGUGGAAUGCGUAGAUAUCGGGAGGAACACCAGUGGCGCAAGCGGCGUCCUGGCCCACACCUGACGCUGAGGUACGAAAGCGUGGGUAGCAAACAG